rnacentral:rRNA from 1 species
UACGGGAGGCAGCAGUGGGGAAUAUUGCACAAUGGGCGCAAGCCUGAUGCAGCCAUGCCGCGUGUAUGAAGAAGGCCUUCGGGUUGUAAAGUACUUUCAGUCGUGAGGAAGGUGUUAAGGUUAAUAACCUUAGCAAUUGACGUUAGCGACAGAAGAAGCACCGGCUAACUCCGUGCCAGCAGCCGCGGUAAUACGGAGGGUGCGAGCGUUAAUCGGAAUUACUGGGCGUAAAGGGCACGCAGGCGGUUAAUUAAGUUGGAUGUGAAAUCCCCGGGCUUAACCUGGGAAUGGCAUUCAAGACUGGUUAGCUAGAGUCUUGUAGAGGGGGUAGAAUUCCAUGUGUAGCGGUGAAAUGCGUAGAGAUGUGGAGGAAUACCGGUGGCGAAGGCGGCCCCUGGGACAAAGGCUGACGCUCAUGUGCGAAAGCGUGGGGAGCAAACG